UACGUAGGCAGCAAGCGUUGUUCGGAAUUACUGGGCGUAAAGAGCGUGUAGGCGGUGCUCCAAGUCUGGUGUGAAAUCUCCCGGCUUAACUGGGAGGGUGCAUUAGAAACUGGAAUGCUAGAGGAUGGGAGAGGUAAGCGGAAUUCCUGGUGUAGCGGUGAAAUGCGUAGAUAUCAGGAGGAACACCUGUGGUGUAGACAGCUUACUGGACCAUUUCUGACGCUGAGACGCGAAAGCGUGGGUAGCAAACAGG
rnacentral:rRNA from 1 species